UACGUAGGGGGGCAAGCGUUGUCCGGAAUCAUUGGGCGUAAAGAGCGUGUAGGCGGCCCGGUAAGUCCGCUGUGAAAGUCCAGGGCUCAACCCCUGGAAUGCCGGUGGAAACUGUCGGGCUAGAGUCCGGAAGAGGCGAGUGGAAUUCCUGGUGUAGCGGUGAAAUGCGCAGAUAUCAGGAGGAACACCAAUGGCGAAGGCAGCUCGCUGGGACGGUACUGACGCUGAGACGCGAAAGCGUGGGGAGCAAACAGG
rnacentral:rRNA from 1 species